UACGUAGGCAGCGAGCGUUGUUCGGAGUUACUGGGCGUAAAGGGUGUGUAGGCGGUUGUUUAAGUUUGGUGUGAAAUCUCCCGGCUCAACUGGGAGGGUGCGCCGAAUACUGAAUGACUUCGAGUGCGGGAGAGGAAAGUGGAAUUCCUGGUGUAGCGGUGAAAUGCGUAGAUAUCAGGAGGAACACCGGUGGUGUAGACGGCUUUCUGGUCUGUAACUGACGCUGAGGCGCGAAAGCGUGGGGAGCAAACAGG
rnacentral:rRNA from 1 species